rnacentral:rRNA from 1 species
GACGAACGCUGGCGGCGUGCUUUAGGCAUGCAAGUCGAACGCGAAAGCCCCUUCGGGGGUGAGUAGAGUGGCGAACGGGUGAGUAACACGUGGGUAACCUGCCCCUCGCAGGGGGAUAACCGGGGGAAACCCCGGCUAAUACCCCGUACGCUUGCUGGGGCGCAUGCUCCGGCAAGGAAAGGUAGCUUCGGCCCUCCGGCGAGGGAGGGGCCCGCGGCCCAUUAGCUAGUUGGUGGGGUAACGGCCCACCAAGGCGACGAUGGGUAGCUGGCCUGAGAGGGUGGUCAGCCACACUGGGACUGAGACACGGCCCAGACUCCUACGGGAGGCAGCAGCCAGGAAUCUUGCGCAAUGGGCGAAAGCCUGACGCAGCAACGCCGCGUGGGCGAUGAAGGCCUUCGGGUCGUAAAGCCCUGUUGUCGGGGACGAAGGGCGAAGGGUUAAGAGCCCCUAGCCUGACGGUACCCGACGAGGAAGCCCCGGCUAACUACGUG